AAACACGUGUGUAUUUCUUUUUAUUUGUGAGCAGGCGUGUGGCUGGUAUUAAAAGUUUAGUAAAGUCAAACAAUUGAAAUAAAUAUGGCGGACCUAUUGAAACUAACCGACGCUAUUGUAUUAGAGUAUAUACAAUCUAAGGACAAGAACCUGGCCAAGGUGUUCCAACAAAAGACGAAGGCAGCCACAGUGGGCAAGAACACGCCGAAGCUGAGUGAGAUCUUACAGUUUUACCAGACCAAGAGCUCGACAAAAAUUCCAGCAAUUAAGGCAGCAGCUGCUGAUAGUGACAGUGAUUCAGACGACUCUGAUGAGGCUCCAGUGCCGGCGAAGAAGCAAGCCGCUGUUGUGUUGACAAACGGCAAAGCUGCUAAGGUGGUCAAGGCCUCGAGCAGUGAUGAUAGUUCCUCAGACGAAGAGCCACCAAAGAAGCCAGCAGUGCCAGUAAAGGCCGCUCCGGCCAAGAAGGCUGCUGCUUCCUCCAGUGAGGACAGCGACGACUCUGAAGAGGAUAAGAAACCAGCUGCCGUGGCCAAGACACCAGUCAAGACAGCUCCAGCCAAAAAGGCGCCCUCCAGCAGCGACGACAGCAGCUCCGAGGAGGAAACGGCCAAACCAGCGGCCAAGGCAGCAGCAAAGCCUGCGCCUGCCAAGAAGCCCGAAACCUCCAGUGAGGGUAGCGAUUCCGAUGAGGAGCCAGCCAAGAAGAAGCCUGCACUUGCCCCGGCCAAGACAGCUGUGGUCAAGCCCGCCACCUCUUCGAGCGAAGAGGACUCCGAGGAAGAAGAAAAGCCGGCAGCAAAGGCUCCAGCUAAGGCAGCCCCCAAGAAGGUUGCUGCUUCCUCCAGCGAGGAUAGUUCCUCGGAGGACGAGGCACCCAAGAAGGCAGCUCCAGUGAAGGCAAGUCCAGCCAAGGCUGCUCCAGCCCAGAAAGUCGAUUCGUCCAGUGAGGAGAGCGAUUCCGAUGAGGAGCCACCCAAGAAGGCGGCUGCCCCAGCCAAAUCAGCUGCAAAGGCCACUCCAGCCAAGAAGGUAGAGUCAUCCAGCGAUGACAGCGAUUCCGAUGAGGAAGAGCCAGCCAAGAAGCCUGCUGCCAAGCCGGCAGCCAAACCCGCUGCUACUCCAGCCAAGAAGGCAGGUGAAUCCGAAGACUCUUCGGAUGAUAGCGAGAGCUCUGAGGACGAAAAGCCCAAGUCUAAGGCCAAGCCUGCAGCAAAGCCUGCAGCCAAGCCUGCAGCCAAGCCUGCAGCAAAGCCUGCAGCUAAGGCGGCCAAAUCGAGCAGCGAAGACUCCUCCAGUGAUGAUGAGGCUCCUGCUGCUGUCAAGCCGGCAGUGAAGAAGACUGCGGCACCGGCCAAGAAGGACGACUCCUCCUCGGAUGACUCUUCCGACGAGGAGAAAGCACCAGCUGCCAAGAAGCCAGCGGCCAAGAAGGCCAAGGAAAGCAGCGACGACAGCGACAGCGAUGACUCCGAAGAGGAGAAGCCUAAGGCCAACGGUGACGCCAAGGCUGGCCAGAAGCGCAAGUUCAGCGGCGGGGACGAGGAGGAGGCCACACCCAACAAGAAGUACAACAACUUUGUCAAAUCGGGAGACCAAAAGAAUGGCGACGGCUUCAAGAAGCACAACGGACGCGGCGGACGUGGAGGCUCCGGCUUUGCCGGACGUCCGGAUCGCAGCACCUGGGAGAGCAACAAUCAGAACGGCGGCGAGGAAGGCGGCGAGGGCGGUGGAUUCAAGAAGAUGGGCGAUCGCCGUAGCUUUGGUGGCUUUGAUAAGAAGCCAUUCGAGGGACGUGGCGGUGGACGCGGUGGCGGCUUUGGCGGUGGUCGUGGAGGUGACCGCGGCGGCGGCGGCUUUGGCGGUGGCCGUGGAGGCGACCGCGGCGGACGCGGCUUUUGCGGACGUGGUGGUGGCGGACGCGGAGGCUUUGGCGGUGGACGUGGAGGCGACCGCGGCAGCUUUGGAGGAGGGCGUGGAGGCGACCGCGGCGGACGCGGCUUUGGUGGCCGUGGCGGCGGCGGGCGCGGCGGCGGUUUCGGCAACAAAUCCUUCGACUCCUCAGCGCCGAAGCCAAACAAAAAAAUCACCUUCGACAAUUAGAUCUAGUUAAGUUCUCCCUCCCUCCCCCCACCCACAAGCACGUACACACACAAACGCGCGCAGAUAUAUGCAGAUUUGUUAUAAAAACGCUGCCGGCUCCUGGGGCGAACGGGCCAACAUCGACCUGAAGCACACCCGCG
rnacentral:misc_RNA from 1 species